GACGAGGGGUCCUAGCGUUGUUCGGAAUCAUUGGGCGUAAAGCGUGUGUAGGUGGCCAUUCAAGUCAGUUGUGAAAGCCCCGGGCUCAACCCGGGAAGUGCUUCUGAUACUGUUUGGCUUGAGUACUGGAGAGGAUAGUGGAAUUCCUGGUGUAGUGGUGAAAUACGUAGAUAUCAGGAGGAACAUCGGUGGCGAAGGCGGCUAUCUGGCCAUGUACUGACACUGAGACACGAAAGCGUGGGGAGCAAACAGG
rnacentral:rRNA from 1 species